GUGAAAUUCAUGUUCGUAGGUUGUAUUUAGGUGAAGAUUUCAUGGAUUGAACUCAUUGAAGAAUGAAGGUUGCGGACUUCGGAACUUGCGGUCAUUCUCUUCGUCUCAUCGUCUGGAAAUCUGCUGCACUUGUUGUCUUGUUUGAUAUUCCAAAUCUGGAAAUACGAAGUGGAACACAAAGGGAUUAAGUGAAUGGCAAAAGCUUGAGUCAAUGAGUCUACUGCUUUCCGAGAAUCUGAGGUGUUAGAGUAAAAUGUCAAAUCAUGAGCCAAAACCGAAGCGAUCAAAAUUCAGUUAGUUUAGGUUCUUGUAUUGCAUUGCACGUUUAUUUUGUUGUUGAUUUUGUUUUUUAGUUUUGUAUAGAUAUGCAUUUGAGGGAUAAGGCUCACUACGUCCCC